rnacentral:rRNA from 1 species
UGGCUCAGAUUGAACGCUGGCGGCAUGCCUUACACAUGCAAGUCGAACGGCAGCGGACCUUCGGGUGCCGGCGAGUGGCGAACGGGUGAGUAAUAUAUCGGAACGUACCUUCAGGUGGGGGAUAACGUAGCGAAAGUUACGCUAAUACCGCAUAUUCUGUGAGCAGGAAAGCAGGGGAUCGCAAGACCUUGCGCUGAUUGAGCGACCGAUAUCAGAUUAGCUAGUUGGUGAGGUAAAGGCUCACCAAGGCGACGAUCUGUAGCGGGUCUGAGAGGAUGAUCCGCCACACUGGAACUGAGACACGGUCCAGACUCCUACGGGAGGCAGCAGUGGGGAAUUUUGGACAAUGGGCGCAAGCCUGAUCCAGCCAUGCCGCGUGAGUGAAGAAGGCCUUCGGGUUGUAAAGCUCUUUCGGCCGGGAAGAAAUCGCACAGGUUAAUACCCUGUGUGGAUGACGGUACCGGAAUAAGAAGCACCGGCUAACUACGUG